UAGGGCCUCCAAGUCUCUUGAGGACAAGUUACUCAGAGGAAAAAAAAAAUCUUAAAGUGUUUUGUUAUUAUUUAAACUUUUAGUCUCUUAAAAUAGCACGAACAGGAAGGGAGGAGUGGGGUGUUGCCAUCUAACAGAUGCUGGUUAAGAAAAACUCUUGAAUUAAGCCCAAAGACCCACCGACUGAAAUAAGUUUGACACCCAGAUCUAACGAGUGAAACAAAUGCCCAGAUCUCUCCAUCCUCUGGAGCCUGGGUGCCAGAUGUGUCAGCGUCUAGUCAACAGCAGAGAGGCCACAAAGUACUUCCUCAGUGGCACAAACAAAACUCAGUCCUGGUGUGUGUCAGUUAAAAAAAAAACAAAAUGUGCUUAUUUUAAUCCUUCAAAGCUGCUGAAAGACAAUAAAGCCACAUUUUAUUUAGCUAAAUCAGAAACAGAUAACAGUCUUUAGGCUCAAUCAUAUCUAAGGUUCAGUAUCUGUUUUUACCACAGUCACUAUAAAAACAUCCUUGCACCUUUUAAAAGGAUAGUAAACACUGUUAACACACUAGAUUCAUACUUGAUAACAUUGUCUACUGGCAUGCUCAAAAUACAGCUCUAACAAAGUCCUCCCUCACAUGUACAAGUCGCCCCUCUGGCACUACGGAAAUGGCUCAAUUAACAUUUGCAGGCACAGUUUUAUGGUAGAAAAGAAAAUCAAAAUGUAAGGCUGUAGCCAUCACUGGCUGAUAAAGACUCUCUCUUAGAUCAGGUACAUUGACUAUUGCAAAAUUACAGGAUUUUAAAGACACUUCAACAUCAUUUAAGGCCUGAUCCAAAGCUCACUGAGGUAAAUAGGAUUUUCUUGUUGACUCUUAAUGGCCUUGGCUCAGAUCUAGACUGUGAUUUUGCUUGUUCACAUUUCUUUCACGGUGCUGUACAAUCUCCCCCUCAUCUUUUUUUUCCCCUCUCACAACCAUAUAAUUGUCUUUAUUUUGCUAUGAGGUAGGUUGCUGAGAUUUUCUUUAUGCUAUUUCUUUAGCUACGCAGAGAGAGCAUAUACAAUGUUCUCUGUGCUGAUUUGGCAGCCUACUGAGGUCUUGAUCCCGUAAACACAUGCGUACAUGAGCUAGUUACUGAGAUAGCCCCACUGAACCCAGUAUAUACUGAACUACAUAACCUACUUGCUGGCAAGGUAGGAACCCACAGUAGUACACCUUGUGUCUUAUACAUAAACGCUACCAUACCAAAAAAUUGUUUUAUGUUUUCAAGUACUUAUCGAAACAAUGCUUAUUUAUAGCUAACAAAAGCUGAAUAUUUUUUCAGUUGAAAAAGACCAUAUAACAUUUUGAAUCUGAGAAAGUUUUAAGCAUUAUUUUGAGUCUCAACUAACUAAGGAAAAAAAUACUCUGUAAACAUGCUUGAAAAUAUUUUUUCUUGUUUUAAAAGGUAUAUGUGAAAGGUUUUUAUCA
rnacentral:lncRNA from 1 species